UAUCGGUCUUACUAAUAAAAAAUCACUAUACAUGCGUUAUGACAAGGUGAUAGUAAUUCAGUGAAUAGAGCUUGUACAGGGCAUAAACUCCUCUUUGACCAAUAAUCGAUGUGUAUUGGUUGAAUAACAAAACGACCCUUAUUUAUUGUUACCCUGGCAACCCGCCGUGUUUGAUUGACGUUUGAUUUAAUAAUUUUGAUACGACUCAUAAUUCUAAUCUAAUAGAAACUCCAAAACCUCAGACAAAGAGGACUAGAAUUUUACAUAAAAAGCCACGUUCUGCAGUACAAAAGUUAGAAGAGGUUAGUAUCAAUGUGAUAGAGAAAGGACUAUUUCAUUCAAAAUCCCUCAACGAUCAUACUUAAAUAAUUUUUUAGGCUCAAACAGAAGCGACUCGCCGAAGCUCACGAAAGGGCUAGACAGAUGCAUCUUCUAAGGCUCAAAUUGUUACAGCAGCAAUUAAAUAAAUAAUUAUAUACUUAUAAAAAAAAUAAAACCCCCGUUUUAAAUGAAA